GACGAACGCUGGCGGCGUGCCUAAUACAUGCAAGUCGAACGCAGUGGGGAUGGGUGAGUAACACGUGGGUAAUCUGCCAUCAGAGGGGAUAACACUUGGAAACUGGUGCAAAACCGAUACUGAUGGAUGGACCCGCGGUGCAUUAGCUUGUGGGUGAGGGAACGGCCCAGCGAGGCAACGAUGCAUAGCCGACCUGAGAGGUUGAUCGGCCACACUGGAACUGAGACACGGCCCAGACUCCUACGGGAGGCAGCAGUAGGGAAUCUUCGGCAAUGGACGAAAGUCUGACCGAGCAACGCCGCGUGAGUGAAGAAGGUUUUCGGAUCGUAAAACUCUGUUGUUAGGGAGGCGGUAUCUAACCAGAAAGCCACGGCUAACUACGUGCCAGCAGCCGCGGUAAUUC
rnacentral:rRNA from 1 species